rnacentral:rRNA from 1 species
UGGAAUGAGCGGCGGACGGGUGAGUAACACGUAGGCAACCUGCCUGUAAGACUGGGAUAACUCGUGGAAACGCGAGCUAAUACCGGAUAACACUUUUCAUCUCCUUCCCGGAAUGGAGAAAGUGUAAAAAGGCCGCCUUUUUGCCUGUUCCAUUUACACGAUGGGGCCUGGCGGGGCCAUUAAGCCAAGGUGGGUAAAGGUAAAUGGCUUACCCAAGGGGGACCAAUAGGUAUACCGACCUUUAGAAGGGGGAUUCGGCCACCACUGGGGACUGAGAACCCGGCCCCAGAUUCCUUACGGGAGGGCAGCCGUUAGGGAAUCUUUCCGCCAAUGGACGGAAAAUUCUGACGGAGGCAACCCCCGCGUGGAGUGAUGAAAGGUUUCCGGAUCGUAAAAACUUCGGUUGUUAGGGAAGGAACCAAGUGCCCAUAGUAAACUGAUGGCCACCUUGACCGGUACCUAACCAGGAAAGCCACGGCCUAACUACGUGCCCAGCAGCCGCGGUAAUACGUAGGUGGCAAGCGUUGUCCGGAAUUAUUGGGCGUAAAGCGCUCGCAGGCGGUUCUUUAAGUCUGAUGUGAAAUCUUACGGCUCAACCGUAAACGUGCAUUGGAAACUGGGGAACUUGAGUGCAGAAGAGGAGAGUGGAAUUCCACGUGUAGCGGUGAAAUGCGUAGAGAUGUGGAGGAACACCAGUGGCGAAGGCGACUCUCUGGUCUGUAACUGACGCUGAGGAGCGAAAGCGUGGGGAGCGAACAGGAUUAGAUACCCUGGUAGUCCACGCCGUAAACGAUGAGUGCUAGGUGUUAGGGGGUUUCCGCCCCUUAGUGCUGAAGUUAACGCAUUAAGCACUCCGCCUGGGGAGUACGGCCGCAAGGCUGAAACUCAAAAUGAAUUGACGGGGGUCCCGCACAAGUCGGUGGAGCAUGUGGCUUUAAUUCUGAAGCAACGCUGAAGAACCUUACCAGGUCUUGAUUCAUCCUCUGAUACACUCUAUGAGAUAGAGUUUUCCCUUCCGGGGACAGAGUUGACAGGUGGUGCAUGGUUGUCGUCAGCUCGUGUCGUGAGAUGUUGGGUUAAGUCCCGCAACGAGCGCAACCCUUGAUCUUAGUUGCCAGCAUUCAGUUGGGCACUCUAAGGUGACUGCCGGUGACAAACCGGAGGAAGGUGGGGACGACGUCAAAUCAUCAUGCCCCUUAUGACCUGGGCUACACACGUGCUACAAUGGAUGGAACAAAGGGAAGCGAACCCGCGAGGUCAAGCAAAUCCCACAAAACCAUUCUCAGUUCGGAUUGUAGGCUGCAACUCGCCUACAUGAAGCCGGAAUCGCUAGUAAUCGCGGAUCAGCAUGCCGCGGUGAAUACGUUCCCGGGCCUUGUACACACCGCCCGUCACACCACGA